AUCCAGCUAACGAGUACUAAAUAAGACGAAACGCGCUUCCUGGAU
rnacentral:hammerhead_ribozyme from 1 species